AAAAUCCUUCCUUAUCCCUCAGCGUAUGGUGAUAAAGUGUUUAUUCUACUUGCUUUUGGAGGGAUAUAAAUUACUAGGCACUUUUUAAUACCUCCUGCUUCUUCAUGCAACUAUGGAAAAAAAACCUCAGAGUAAAUCAUUGGAAUGCAAUCUACUAUGUGGUGUUUAUUUUGUGGAGGAAGGAACCAUCUUUGUGAAAGGAUGUUUAGGUGUUGGAUAAUAAAACAACAUUUUUCCACGUCGUUUCCUCGUAAACUAAGCGUUCUUGUGCGGAGGCGGACCGACUUCGACGAUUUUGUUGAUGCUGAAAGAAGAAGAUAGCUGAGGACUGAGAAGUGAUUUUUUUCUUUUUUUCCUUCUCUUGAGCAAAAUUACUGCUCAACACCAUGACGGAAUCCAAUCCUUCUAGUGGACCCUCUCCUUCUCCCAAAAUUCCGAAUGAAAUCAGUAGCGGCGGCCCGAAGGCCGAAUUCACAGGCCAGAGGGUCCGGUAUCCGAACCCACCGGAGAUUCAGAAUCCGGACCCUGCAACGCUUCGAGAUCAAUGGAGAUUUGCCAUUAAACAGUAUAGCAAAUGGUACUCACACGCUUGGGGAACUGCUAUACUUGCUGGGAUCUCCUUCUUCACGCUCGGUUGGAUUAUUAAGGGUUCCAAUCCUCUGCCCUCGCGCCAAGAGGAUUCCAAUUCGCCUUCCUCCUCCGCUUCCACCGGUUCACAACAAGCUCGUCCUUGAGUUUUUGACUCUGGAUUUAGCAUAAUCAGUGCCUGAGGAAUGUGGUCGUCUGAAAAAUAAGCCUUCUUUGCUCACCACCGCAUCAGUGGAUGACCGUGCUUAGAGUUUGGGCUCUGUUAAUCUUCAGAAAGCCUUGGUACUGGAAGUACUCAUCAUUUCUGCAAAUAUUAUCAAUAGUCAAACAAAUGGCCCAUAGGAGGAGAUGCAACAAUGUCCAAGCUAUGACAACUCAACAGCAACAACUUGCUUCUCAUUAAAGAAUGUUCUACUCCCAAACCUAUUAGCAAUCUCAAGUUCAUAGUAGACCAUGUCAUGCAUGAACUGGAUUCGUGAUGACAUAAUAACCCAGUUUAUGCCGUAUCAAUUUGACUUAAUAGUAUGAAUUAUGGAAAUGCAUGAAUUUCCCAUGCAUUGACUCAAUGUCACAGACCAAGGUGAUGAAAAUCUGCCUUGUUGACGAGAGGAAUUACAAUAGGAGGGCGUAUUGGUGUGAUUUUGGUGCUCUAGCAACCAUCUGUCCUCAUUUUCAAAUACAAUAUUGCAGGUAUUUUCGUAGAUGAGUUCACACUUGACCCAACAUCCAAAGCCGAGAAUCAAAUGGGUACUCUUCCAAUGGAAGUGGAACGAGUCUAACUCAUCAUCACAUCUAUACAUGUAGAACGUUGAAAUCUCCAUAUUGAAAAUGGGCCAUUCGGAAGAAAGAGAAGCAAAGUCUGAGAGUAGGAAAAUAAAACCUUUUCUGGCCAAGCAGGGUCCCAAAUCUGAGCCUUAAGCCACGAGAAUCUGUCAUCGAUGCGAAAUGCUUCUCCCACUCCAAUGGUGGACAAACAACACCACCUUGAGAGAUUUUUGAUGGACUGAUUUGAAUUUACAAAGAAGUAUUCGUGAUGGAUGAUUUGAGAUGUGAUAAUGUAUGAGACAGAAACAGUGCUCCACAUGUGGCGUUUCUCAGUAAUGUUGGACUGUUUAGCUGAGAAAUCCAACUGCUAUUACGAAAAAUAGUUCUUUCCCACUUGUUAGAUUGAUAGGGGCAGGUUUCUAUGAUCGGAGGGAGAAAUAUGGGAGUUUGUAAUAGAUGUUAUACACUACCUUGUUCAAAAAAGUUUGAAAUUUUAGUUCGAAUCUUGAGUUGGACAAAA